rnacentral:lncRNA from 1 species
GUGAGCCAAUAAUUUCUUUUCAUAUUCGGAAAAUCCGGUUUGUAUGCCAUCUUUAUCACUAAUUAUUUCUGUGGCUCACGUUGGCGGAGGCCUUUAAAAAUGAAAGAUUGCAGUCCACAAAUGGCCAUUUUUCUAUCUUUUGACGUUAUCAACACAAUUUAGCCAACCCAAAAUCAGGUUUCUGCCAUACAAGAAGACAAAUUGGGCAUGUGGUAUUGAAGAACAAAUAUAUUAAGAUAUUUUAUGAUGC